CCUACGGGAGGCAGCAGUGGGGAAUAUUGGACAAUGGGGGGAACCCUGAUCCAGCCAUGCCGCGUGUGUGAAGAAGGCCCUCGGGUUGUAAAGCACUUUCAGUGAGGAAGAACGCCUGGUGGUUAAUACCCAUCAGGAAAGACAUCACUCACAGAAGAAGCACCGGCUAACUCCGUGCCAGCAGCCGCGGUAAUACGGAGGGUGCGAGCGUUAAUCGGAAUUACUGGGCGUAAAGCGCGCGUAGGUGGCUUGAUAAGCCGGUUGUGAAAGCCCCGGGCUCAACCUGGGAACGGCAUCCGGAACUGUCAAGCUAGAGUGCAGGAGAGGAAGGUAGAAUUCCCGGUGUAGCGGUGAAAUGCGUAGAGAUCGGGAGGAAUACCAGUGGCGAAGGCGGCCUUCUGGACUGACACUGACGCUGAGGUGCGAAAGCGUGGGUAGCAAACAGGAUUAGAUACCCUGGUAGUC
rnacentral:rRNA from 1 species